AGCUUGCUACUUUACCUAGCGGCGGACGGGUGAGUAAUGCUUAGGAAUCUGCCUAUUAGUGGGGGACAACAUCUCGAAAGGGAUGCUAAUACCGCAUACGUCCUACGGGAGAAAGCAGGGGAUCUUCGGACCUUGCGCUAAUAGAUGAGCCUAAGUCGGAUUAGCUAGUUGGUGGGGUAAAGGCCUACCAAGGCGACGAUCUGUAGCGGGUCUGAGAGGAUGAUCCGCCACACUGGGACUGAGACACGGCCCAGACUCCUACGGGAGGCAGCAGUGGGGAAUAUUGGACAAUGGGGGGAACCCUGAUCCAGCCAUGCCGCGUGUGUGAAGAAGGCCUUUUGGUUGUAAAGCACUUUAAGCGAGGAGGAGGCUACUCUAGUUAAUACCUAGGGAUAGUGGACGUUACUCGCAGAAUAAGCACCGGCUAACUCUGUGCCAGCAGCCGCGGUAAUACAGAGGGUGCAAGCGUUAAUCGGAUUUACUGG
rnacentral:rRNA from 1 species